CCAGGAGAGUCUAUGCAUACAUGGGUCUGGUGUAUCUGGGAAAUCUCUGUAUAUUCCCCUAAAUGUUUUUGCAAACAUUAAGCUGCUCUAAAAGAAGGCCUACCCCUGCCACUGCUGGUUUCCAAGUUGACAUUUGAGUCUCAAGGGUAAUCAAGAACAUGGAAUUCAUUGUGAAAAUCUCUUCUGCUCGGUUGGAACAACUGUGUUUAUAAGGCACAUGGUGAGAUGCUGGAACUGGUGUAGUCAUCUUACAACAAUGAGAGGAAAUAUCGGAAGGAAGAGUCAACACAAAGAGGGCAGAGCCACAAGAACUCCCAAGAAGCAGAGUCAGAGUCCUAAUUAUAUUCUAUCUGGAGUUGCUUUGUCUUUGGAAUUCAUGCUAUGUGAAAUAAUUCCUUUUGUUUAAAGCA